GACAGUUUGUCCGAGUGGUUAAGGAGUUAGACUCGAAUGGUCCAAGACCAAUCAAUCUAGUGGGUUCGCCCGCGCAUGUUCGAAUCAUGCAGCUGUCG
rnacentral:tRNA from 1 species